rnacentral:rRNA from 1 species
CCGGCGACCGGCGCACGGGUGAGUAACACGUAUGCAAUCCACCUGUAACAGGGGGGAUAACCCGGAGAAAUCCGGACUAAUACCCCAUAAUAUGGGCUCUCCGCAUGGAGGGUCCAUUAAAGAGAGCAAUUUUGGUUACAGACGGGCAUGCGCUCCAUUAGCCAGUUGGCGGGGUAACGGCCCACCAAAGCGACGAUGGAUAGGGGUUCUGAGAGGAAGGUCCCCCACAUUGGAACUGAGACACGGUCCAA